CCCCGAGCUGAAGGCGCAAUUUUGAACCUUCCGCGUCUGCACUUUCAAGCAAGAAAAAUCCAUCAAACGAUAGAUCCACGUCGGGUGCCCAUCGCUGCAGCCUAACACUGAGGGGCCGCGGCCGAGACCGCUGCCCGACAGCCGGCGGCUGGGGGUCUGCUGGGGAUGAAGUGUUCUGUCAAAUCUUCCUGAUAGGGAUAUUUACCUCCAACAAAGGCAUCACCAGCUCCAUUUGUAUCGACAAUGUCAUCUUGUUUAAUAUCCAGGACAGGAUAAGCAGUCACAUUAUCAGCUGUGGGAAAGCAAACCAUGUAUAAGAGAAAUUUGAUCCUGUACACUGAGGAGAUACGACUGUACACCUCUAAUCCAUUACAAAUACCCAAGACAACCAACUGCAUUUUCAAAUAUCAUUAAGUCCAUUUAAUUGGAGGGACAACUGUUACGACAUCUUACUGUUUUACUAUAAUUAUAACCACCGAGAUAGAUGCUGUAAGAAAGUUAAGAAGGACUCCACAAGCCGGCUUAUUUCUGUGUGCCCACAGACAAUCUUGGAGUAGCAGUGGAGAAGGAGUGUUCAGAAUGGUACUGAGUGUCUUGAGUCCAUGCAUCAAGAGAACACAGAGACCCUGCAUAAAUGGUGGAAGCAGCACCCCACCGUCCCGUCCGUACCAUCAGACACCUUCUGCCCAAUCUUGUGCUGUUUCCACACUGACCUCAGAACCCAUGGAACCAAGUCAUCCACGAUCCUGAGAGACUGCCGAGAAGGAUAAUUGGGAUGGAAAUUUAUUAAAAAAUGGUAUAGAUUUACAAAACACUAAUGAAUACAAAGCAAAGUUGUAUCUAAUGUGUUGUAAAAUCACUUCAUUCUUUAGUUAUACACUAUUUGACCUUUCUUCAUUUUAAUUGAUGUUCCGACACAUUUAGAAUAAAUGUCUUUAUUCAUGCAAAUGAAGGGAUAAAAUAUGGUUAUUCAAGUUGA